rnacentral:lncRNA from 1 species
CGGCAACUCCCCCGUCGCCUCAAACAGCUCCUCCGCCUUCACCCCUUCAUGAAUCAGCAGCGUAGCGUCGCCGCCGUCGUCGACGAUCAGAUCAGGUCCACCGUCGGGACCCCAAUCGAGGGCUCGCUCCGUGCACCACCAGUACUCCUGCAAGGUCUCUCCUUUCCAGGCGAAUACGGCGGCGCUGUCGCGGGCGAUGGCGGCGGCGGCGUGGUCCUGGGUGGAGAAGAUGUUGCAGGAGCACCAGCGAACCUCGGCGCCGAGGGCAGUUAGGGUUUCGAUGAGGACGGCGGUUUGGAUAGUCAUGUGAAGGGAGCCGGUGAUUCGGGCUCCCUUGAAGGGCUGAGAUGGGCCGAAUUCGGCCCGACAGGCUAUGAGCCCGGGCAUUUCGACUUCGGCCAACUCAAGUUCGAGUCGGCCGAAGUCGGCUUGGGAAAGGUCCUUGACCUUGUAUUCACGGCCGCUUGUGGUUUUCUCAACUAGCAAAGCCAUGACUAUUAUAGUAAGGAAAUAUUUUUAUUUUUUAGAGAAAGAGAGGUGAAGAAGCUAAGGGAAAAUGUUGGGUGUGUCAAAAUACGGUUAUGGGAGUGGGUGGAAUGGGAUAGGAUAUUUUAAUGAAGUGUGUGGAUUUGGGUUUUAUUGUUCACUUGCAAACAUCUUCUAAAUCCACGUGUAGUGUUAUAAAAGUUGAAAAGUAAAUUACACUGACACCCUUGAGUUUUAAUAAAAUUAUAUAAAUCAUCUCUUAUACCCCUAAUUUUUUACAUUUGCAUUACCACCCAUGAAUGAGAAAUAAAUGUAAUUUUUAGACAAAUUUAUGAUAAAUGUAGUUAAGUUAAUCAAAACAUGAUAUAAUGUGAAAUGGAACCCCCGUGAACUGAGUCAAGCCAAUUAAGAGUAUGAGACAAUGGUUUGAGGAGCACAUGGAGAUGAUGGCGCCAUGUUUGUUGGGAGCGGUCGGUUCCAUUACAUUGUAGUUGUAUCGCUCCUUUCGUCUAUUAAACUGUUGCCAUUAAUAAUACUUAGUACAUGAGGAGAGUAUUAUGAUAUUUAUAAAAUAUGAUUUUUACUAUAUUUAUAAUAAAUUUUAGUAAUUAGUAAUUGAGCUAUAUCGACAAAAGUUGUCAUAUAUAUUAUUUAUUUAAUUAUUAUAUAUAUUGAUUAUUAUAAAAUAUAUAAAUAUAUGAGAAAAUAGUAUAUAAAUGUAUAGUGAAAGUGAGGAAUAAAAUAUUAAUGGAACAAAAGCUCUAGAGUUUAGCUAUGAUCCAAGUCUAAAAGCAUAAGCAUGUGAUGUUGUUGUGUUUUACCAAACACAAGCCUUAGAGCACCCUAAUACAUGAGCACUUGAGCAGUGGGGAAGGUGUAAAAGGGUAAGAGAAUAUAAGACUCUUGUCUUACUGCACCAUCUAUUUUAAUCCUACCAAACCUAUCGUGAGAGAUAAUCUAGUAUUUUGAAGCUCUUACAUUGACAAUGAAAUAUAAGAAAUGAUCAAAUUGAGUUCAUACACUGAACAAUAUGGCUGUUGUAUCUGAAGCUAUGUCAUCUCAACCACGGCAUCAGAGGGAGUCUAAUGGCUGAAAUUCCAAUAUUUUAUCUUUAGGCAAAACGUAACAAAAUGACAUUCACAUAAAUCAAGUCACAAAGAUAAAGCAUGCCUAAAAGGGACUACGAUAAUUGACAAAUAUUUCAUCUUUAUUCUUAUUCUCUCGCUGAUAAAAGAUGAUCAUAAUUUUAUAUACAUGUGGUUAUAAACAAAAGGUCAAAUGAUGAAAUACUGAACAAGAAUGACAUUAGUGCUUCUGAAUAAGAAAUAAGCCAAAGGAUGAAAUGCUGAUGAUAAGUAAGAAAGAAUGACAUUAAUGUUUGAAAUGUUAUUUUUUUAUAGCUGAUAAAUAUUAAUACAUUUCACCUCUGAAUCUGUGCAUAUACAAAUUAUAUCCUCAAUAUCAAACAAUAAAAAUGUAAGUUAGAUACAAAAAUGUCACACUAGUAUAAAUAAUGAGUAUAAUAUUUAUGUACUGAUAAUAUAAAGAUUUAUACAUAAUUAACUCAUACACUAUCAAUUUAUAUAUUUUUCUCUAAAAUAAUAUCAUAACAUCACUUUUAUAUAAAUUUAUUUAAUAUUUUACAAUGUCAGACCACACCAUGUUGAGUUUGGACCAUGGUAUAGAUUUCUCUCUCUCUCGUUGUAAGAUGAAUACAAAUUUUAAAUAAUAAAGUAUUGAAAACUGAGAAUAAGAUAUUGCUAGAGACAUGUGUUCUCGAUAUUGAUUUCAUGAUUUGUUGAUAUUAUGCUAAUAUACCAACAUCCUCAUGCCCCCAGCCCCACAUUGGACUAAGGACCUACUUUGAUUUUCCUUCAAUAUUUUAUUGAGCAAUAAUGAAGAUACACGAUGACCAUUUUCCUUUUAUUCAUUUCACUGCACUGCCUUUUAUUCGUGUUUUUGUCCUUUAUAUUAUGAAUUCAAUCAUUGAUAUCCCACGGUUUUCACCUUACUUUCAUUUCAAAUAACCUUACACAAGAAUCUUAUCCACUUAAUGAGGAAGAAAUCUUAAAAUUUCCUAACAAAACAUUCAAUAUUCAUAUUGGAAGAUUGGGUAUUUGUCCUUUUGUAGAUUGAUUUCAGGCAAUGAAGGAAAUGUGAAUUUAUCUGUUUCCAUAGGCAUUGGCUGCAAAUGAAUGUGAAGUAACUUUUCACAAUCCUUCGGCAGUGAAUGAAUUUUAGCCCAAAACCAUGCACUUACAAUUGCAAAUUAAAAUCCCACUUACUCAAUUUAGUUUUCUUUUGAUUUUAGCAAAGGUGGACAGAAUGAACACUAAAACCCCACAAACUCAAGCUAUUACAAAACCAGAAUGAACACAACCCCAACCAAAGCAUUAUUCAAACCCAUUUGGUUUCACUUCACAGAAACCAAUGGAUCAACUUCCUCUAACCCUUCAUACCCACUUAGAACAGAGAAUCCUACAGAAAAUCCAAAAUAGUGAAAGUGGAACAAUCAAACCGGUACACGAAACAGCUUUUCUAUUCCUUCAAACUAAAUACCAUUCCUUGAUCUUCUCAGUACCUGUAGUGAGCAGGCUUGUAUGGACCCUCAACAGGUACGCUGAUGUAAUCAGCCUGUGAUUGGCUAAGCUUGGUGAGCUUAGCUCCAAGCUUCCCAAGGUGGAGUGCUGCCACCUUCUCAUCAAGGUGUUUCGGCAAAACAUAAACCUUCUUCUCAUAUUUGCCGGUAUCCUUCUCCUUCCACAACUCAAGCUGAGCAAUGACCUGGUUGGUGAAGGAGCAUGACAUCACAAAACUUGGGUGUCCUGUGGCACAACCCAAGUUCAUCAACCGUCCCUCGGCUAAGACAAUGAUGCCCGUGUUGGUUUCGGGGAAGACCCACCUGUCGGUUUGGGGCUUGAUGGUGAUGCGCUUCACACCAGGGUAAGACUCAAGACCGUGCAUGUCGAUUUCAUUGUCGAAGUGACCAAUGUUGCAGACAAUAGCGUUGUUCUUCAUUUUCCUCAUGUGGUCAACCAUGAUGAUGUCCUUGUUACCUGUGGUGGUAACGAAGAUAUCGGCAUCAGAGACAACAUCCUCUAGGGUCAGAACCUGAAGACCUUCCAUGAGAGCCUGAAGGGCACAGAUGGGGUCAAUCUCAGUCACAACAACACGGGCACCGGCCUGUUUCAAGGCAGCAGCACAACCCUUUCCAACAUCUCCGUAACCAGCAACAACGGCAACCUUCCCGGCAAUCAUGACAUCAGUGGCCCUCAUCAACCCAUCAGGAAGUGAGUGACGGCACCCAUACAAGUUGUCAAACUGUUGCAAACCAUGGAUCAAGUGGAGAAAAUAAAACUUCAUUAGACCAAAAAAUGACACACAACUAGAUCCAAAUUAUAAAACAUACAAAAAUUGACACCAAAAGAAGACUCAAAUCAAACACAACAUUUACACAAAAAAAGGAAACAACAGAUAAUAAGCAUAUAUGCAAAUUGCAAACAACACUCAGAACUCAUAAGCAGUUCAAAUUAAAACAAGAGCCACUGACCCCAUAUAAUCAUUAGCAUGCAGUGUAAAUUAAUUUCAAUAACCCACUUGUUUCAACAACCCAAGCAAUAAGUAGCCCUUAACACACAAUCUGAAGACAUUUAUUAAUUGCACACCACGAAGAAAAACCCAUUAAUUUAGCAAUGCAACAAAAAAACAUAGUUUUCAAACCUAAACCGUAAUUCUUACAUUUGUCACUCAAUCAAAAAAAGAACACACUCCAAAUUUCAGUAAGCCAAUGACAGCUCACCAUUUUCCAAUUACAACUAAACCUGACAUAACCCAUGUAACAAAACUUCAGAUCUUGACUCAGUCCAAAACAAAACACAAAUUAAACAACACAAAAACCAUAAUUUUUACACUUAACUCCCAUUCUCACACUCCUCUCCAAAAAAUAACACACUCUAAAUUUCACUAACCCUAAAACCAACCAUUUCAAACCAACCCAUUUUCGAAAGCAUCAUUUUUUCCCUAAAAACCCAACCAAAACUUCAGAUCCAAAUAAAAAAACAACCAGAUCUAUCUAAACAAAAACAAAGUAUCAAAAACUUCACCUUGCUCUUGGUAACAGAAUCAUUAACAUUAAUAGCAGGGAACAAAAGAGUCCCAUUAGCUUGCAUCUGAUAAAGUCUCUUAACACCAGUAGUAGUCUCUUCAGAAACCCCAACAAGUCUCUCUUUCAUUUUUCUAUACCUUCUCGGAUCACUCUUCAACCCAUCCUUAAUAAUCGUCAACACAAUUUGAAACUCUGCAUUAUCCGUUGAAUUUGGAUCCGGCAACUCCCCCGUCGCCUCAAACAGCUCCUCCGCCUUCACCCCUUCAUGAAUCAGCAGCGUAGCGUCGCCGCCGUCGUCGACGAUCAGAUCAGGUCCACCGUCGGGACCCCAAUCGAGGGCUCGCUCCGUGCACCACCAGUACUCCUGCAAGGUCUCUCCUUUCCAGGCGAAUACGGCGGCGCUGUCGCGGGCGAUGGCGGCGGCGGCGUGGUCCUGGGUGGAGAAGAUGUUGCAGGAGCACCAGCGAAC